rnacentral:rRNA from 1 species
CAAUAGCGUAUAUUAAAGUUGUUGCGGUUAAAAGCUCGUAGUUGGAGUUCUGCCAGGUGACGCUCGUCCGCCCAAGUGGUGUGUACAGGGCGUGCAUCUGGCCCUUUCAAGGGGAACGUGUCUGCUCUUUAUUGAGUGGUGCGAGAUCCUUGACUUUUACUUUGAGGAAAUCAGAGUGUUCCAAGCAGGCUCUCGUCGUGUAUAGCUCAGCAUGGAAUAAUAGCAUUGGACUUCGUUUCUAAGCUGUUGGUUGCAAGAAGCGAGGUAAUGAUGAAGAGGGAUAGUUGGGGGCAUUCGUACUGGACAGCUAGAGGUGAAAUUCUACGAUUUGUCCAAGACGAACUAAUGCGAAGGCAUCUGCCAAGGAUGUUUUCAUUGAUCAAGAACGAAAGUCAGGGUAUCGAAGACGAUUAGAUACCA